rnacentral:rRNA from 1 species
GUCUACGGCCAUACCACCCUGAACGCGCCCGAUCUCGUCUGAUCUCAGAAGCUAAGCAGGGUCGGGCCUGGUUAGUACUUGGAUGGAAGACC